rnacentral:rRNA from 1 species
GACGAACGCUGGCGGCGUGCUUAACACAUGCAAGUCGAACGGAAAGGCCCUGCUUUUGUGGGGUGCUCGAGUGGCGAACGGGUGAGUAACACGUGAGUAACCUGCCCUUGACUUUGGGAUAACUUCAGGAAACUGGGGCUAAUACCGGAUAGGAGCUCCUGCUGCAUGGUGGGGGUUGGAAAGUUUCGGCGGUUGGGGAUGGACUCGCGGGUUAUCCGCUUGUUGGUGGGGUAGUGGCUGACCAAGGCUUUGACGGGUAGCCGGCCUGAGAGGGUGACCGGCCACAUUGGGACUGAGAGACGGCCCAGACUCCUACGGGAGGCAGCAGUGGGGAAUAUUGCACAAUGGGCGGAAGCCUGAUGCAGCAACGCCGCGUGCGGGAUGACGGCCUUCGGGUUGUAAACCGCUUUCGCAUGUGACGAAGCGUGAGUGACGGUAAUGGGUAAAGAAGCACCGGCUAACUACGUG